CCUACGGGAGACAGCAGUGGGGAAUAUUGGGCAAUGGGCGCAAGCCUGACCCAGCAACGCCGCGUGAAGGAAGAAGGCUUUCGGGUUGUAAACUUCUUUUAAGAGGGAAGAGCAGAAGACGGUACCUCUUGAAUAAGCCACGGCUAACUACGUGCCAGCAGCCGCGGUAAUACGUAGGUGGCAAGCGGUGUCCGGAUUUACUGGGUGUAAAGGGCGUGUAGCCGGGCUGACAAGUCAGAUGUGAAAUUCCGGGGCUCAACCCCGGACCUGCAUUUGAAUCGGUUGGUCUUGAGUAUCGGAGAGGCAGGCGGCAUUCCUGGUGUAGCGGUGAAAUGCGUCGAUAUUAGGAGGAACACCAGUGGCGAAGGCGGCCUGCUGGACGACACCUGACGGUGAGGCGCGAACGCGUGGGGAGCAAACAGGAUUAGAUACCCCAGUAGUC
rnacentral:rRNA from 1 species